rnacentral:rRNA from 1 species
UACGGGGGGUGCGAGCGUUGUCCGGAAUCACUGGGCGUAAAGGGCGCGUAGGUGGUCUGAUAAGGGUGUGGUGAAAGUCCGGGGCUCAACCCCGGAUCUGCCGUGCCGACUGUCAGACUCGAGGACUGUAGAGGCAGGCGGAAUUCCGAGUGUAGCGGUGAAAUGCGUAGAUAUUCGGAGGAACACCAGUGGCGAAAGCGACUUUCUGGGACAUUCCUGACGCUGAGGUUCGAAAGCUCGGGGAGCAAACAGG